rnacentral:rRNA from 1 species
UUUAAAUCAGAUAUCACCCCUCAGUCUAUGGCCGGUUACUCUCAGAAGCUAAGCAGGGCUGGGCCUGGUCAAUACCUGCAUGGGAGACCACAUUGGAAAACUAGGUUGCUGUUGAAA